AAUUCACUACUGGAUUUCUGGUGUAAUUUUCGUAAAAAUUACGAUUUUAUGCCUAACUUCACCCUUAGAAAUUCAGCAUUCUUUCCAAAACUUGAAAACAUCAUAUCUCUCUCAUUUUAAGGCCAAAUUAGGGGAUUCAAAAGGCUAUCUUGGGUGGAAUUUCACAAGGAUUUUAUUGGACUGGUCGAAAGUGAGCUUCGUGAUCAAUUAGCACUUGAUUUGGACCGAAACAGCUGCGGCAUUUUCUUUUCUCCACUUGUUCGGGAUUUUGUUACAUUUCUUACAAGUUUGGGAGUUUCGAUUGAGGUGAUUUUUUUUGGUGUUGUUCUCGUCUCAACAAGGGAACGUUAAUCGUUCUGAGGCUCUCCGAAGUGGAAAGGCAAGGCUCAACUAGAUUUGUUCGUGGCUCCAGCUCAGUAGCGAGAUUGUAUGUUGGGAAGGGAAGCGUUCGCCUACUGGGGGGAGUGAGUGGGUGCCCGCACGACUAGUGAUUUGGGUCGUGACAUGAUCGAACCUGUUUUCCACAUGAAUCCUCUUCAUGGAUUUUCACAAUUGAGUCAAUGAAUCACAAAGUUCGGUCAAGAUUCUCCACAAACUGAGCUGUUGGAGGAGCCUCAUCACCGUACCUGAGGUAUUUGGGUUUAAUCUAGUCCCAGAUAAUUACAUUCGCCAUUGACAAUAUUUUUGAUGUAGCAUACUCGAUGUGGGUGAUAUCCAACACCUGCUCAAGCACCAAAUCUUCAAUGAGCUUAAGAAAAAAUGUGCAUGGCUUCCCCACCAUGACAGGCUACUAACUUUGAAAAGAAAGCAAGGUGUAUACUAGCCGACUUAUUUUCAGCCUUUCGUAGGAGAGGAAAAACAAAUAAGGAAGAAACUAACUCAAGAUAUGUUAUUCAAAGCCAUUUAAAUGGGCAAGCAGAAAAUCGACACAGAUCCGGAUAGGUGGGUUGUGUCACGCGAUGAGGUUACCUAUGGUUAAUAUCAAAGCUCCUCGAAGAAACUCCAUUGGAGUUAGUUGGCUAUGACCAAGGUGCCAACACAAAUUACAGACAAGGAUUUUUAGAAGUUUUGGUUGAAUGUUGUUCGUGGCCGAUGAAAGGGGAGAACAUACGACCUUUAUGCAGUGGAUAUUUCACCGCUAUCAGUCUAGGUUGCAAGGCAUUGUUACUUCCUCAAAGGCCAACAAAUGUAUAGGGUGACGAUGAUAGCUAUAGAGAAGAAGAUCAUUGAACUAUCUAGCCAACUUAAAUUAUCAAAGGUCAACUAGAGGUGUGGGGAUCAACAAUAUGAAGGUCUCAAGGUUCAAUUAGAAGCUUUGCUAAAGUGGGAAGUUUCUGAUCCACCUUUGUGCUAAUGAUGCUAUCCCUGACCUUGGCCUUCACGUGAUCGUCUUGUCCAUGAUUGUUCUGUCACCGCUCGUCCUGUCCACGAUCUCAUGGAUGAGGCUUGUUCUAGUCGUUCAGAUGAGGAUGUGGUGGCAAACAAUGCUUGAUUUAACUUAGAUACAUGUUUAGAUUUUUAAAUACUUUGUUUAAGUUUUUAUGACUUUUACAUUUAGAUGCCUUAUAUGACUUUUCUAAUUUUUUUAUGACUUGUGGUGGGUUUUGAUUGAUAAUUGAUGGAGUUUUGGGUUGGACUUCUUGUUGUUUGGA